rnacentral:rRNA from 1 species
AACGUACGCUGGCGGCACGCCUAACACAUGCAAGUCGAACGAAGUAGCAAUACUUAGUGGCAGACGGGUGAGUAACAUGUAGGUAUCUGCCCUUUGGCCUGGAAUAACACGAGGAAACUUGUGCUAAUACCGGAUAAGUCUUUACGGAGAAAGCUUUAUGCACCAUUGGAUGAGCCUGCACUUGAUUAGUUUGUUGGUGGGGUAAUGGCCUACCAAGACUGUGAUCAAUAGCUGAUUUGAGAGGAUGAUCAGCCACAUUGGGACUGAGACACGGCCCAAACUCCUACGGGAGGCAGCAGUGGGGAAUCUUGCACAAUGGAGGAAACUCUGAUGCAGCGAUGCCGCGUGAGUGAAGAAGGCCCUUGGGUUGUAAAGCUCUUUCGUCGGGGAAGAAAAUGACUGUACCCGAAUAAGAAGGUCCGGCUAACUUCGUGCCAGCAGCCGCGGUAAUACGAAGGGACCUAGCGUAGUUCGGAAUUACUGGGCUUAAAGAGUUCGUAGGUGGUUGAAAAAGUUAGUGGUGAAAUCCCAGAGCUUAACUCUGGAACUGCCAUUAAAACUUUUCAGCUAGAGUAUGAUAGAGGAAAGCAGAAUUUCUAGUGUAGAGGUGAAAUUCGUAGAUAUUAGAAAGAAUACCAAUUGCGAAGGCAGCUUUCUGGAUCAUUACUGACACUGAGGAACGAAAGCAUGGGUAGCGAAGAGGAUUAGAUACCCUCGUAGUCCAUGCCGUAAACGAUGUGUGUUAGACGUUGGAAAUUUAUUUUCAGUGUCGCAGGGAAACCGAUAAACACACCGCCUGGGGAGUACGACCGCAAGGUUAAAACUCAAAUGAAUUGACGGGGACCCGCACAAGUAGUGGAGCAUGUGGUUUAAUUCGAAGAUACGCGCAGAACCUUACCAACACUUGACAUGUUCGUCGCGACUCUAAGAGAUUAGAGUUUUCGGUUCGGCCGGACGAAACACAGGUGCUGCAUGGCUGUCGUCAGCUCGUGUCGUGAGAUGUUGGGUUAAGUCCCGCAACGAGCGCAACCCUCACUUUUAGUUGCCAUCAUUUAGUUGGGCACUCUGAAAGAACUGCCAGUGAUAAGCUGGAGGAAGGUGGGGAUGACGUCAAGUCCUCAUGGCCCUUACGUGUUGGGCUACACACGUGCUACAAUGGUAUCUACAACAGGAAGCAAAACUGCGAAGUUAAGCAAAUCCCUAAAAGAUACCUCAGUUCGGAUUGCACUCUGCAACUCGAGUGCAUGAAGCUGGAAUUACUAGUAAUCGUGAAUCAGCGUGCCACGGUGAAUGCGUUCCCGGGUCU